rnacentral:rRNA from 1 species
UCUUUCCCUACACGACGCUCUUCCGAUCUGCCGAAGUUGUGGAUUUCAGAUAGUAGCCAAGCCGCUCCCUUUGUGGGGUUGGUUCAGGCGUCUGGAGUGGUAGGGGAGCGUCGUGUGGGCAGUGAAGUCGCGGUGUAAACCAGCGGUGGAGCCUACACGAGUGAGAAUGCAGGCAUGAGUAGCGAAAGACGGGUGAGAAACCCGUCCGCCGAAUGAUCAAGGGUUCCAGGGUCAAGCUAAUCUGCCCUGGGUAAGUCGGGACCUAAGGCGAGGCCGACAGGCGUAGUCGAUGGACAACGGGUUGAUAUUCCCGUACCGGCGAAAAACCGCCCAUGCUGAACAGGGGAUACUAACCGCCCAAUACCUGCCUGACACCCCUUGUGGGUGAAGGGUUUUGGUGGAGCGCGGGACCUGAUCCUGGGAGGCAAGCGUAUUAACAGGUGUGACGCAGGAAGGUAGCCGAGCCGGGCGAUGGUUGUCCCGGUCUAAGGAUGUAGGGCGAACGGUAGGCAAAUCCGCCGUUCAUGAUGCCUGAGACCCGAUGGGACUCCCGUAAGGGGGGAUUCGGUGAUCCUAUGCUGCCUAGAAAAGCAUCGACGCGAGGUUUUAGCCGCCCGUACCCCAAACCGACACAGGUGAUCAGGUAGAGAAUACUAAGGCGAUCGAGAGAAUUAUGGUUAAGGAACUCGGCAAAAUGCCCCCGUAACUUCGGGAGAAGGGGGGCCCCCAUCGUGAUGGACACUUGCUGUCCGGAGCGUGCAGGGGCCGCAGAGACCAGGGGGAAGCGACUGUUUACUAAAAACACAGGUCCGUGCGAAGUCGCAAGACGAUGUAUACGGACUGACUCCUGCCCGGUGCUGGAAGGUUAAGAGGACCGGUUAGCCGCAAGGCGAAGCUGAGAAUUCAAGCCCCAGUAAACGGCGGUGGUAACUAUAACCAUCCUAAGGUAGCGAAAUUCCUUGUCGGGUAAGUUCCGACCUGCACGAAUGGAGUAACGACUUCCCCGCUGUCUCAACCAUAAACUCGGCGAAAUUGCAGUACGAGUAAAGAUGCUCGUUACGCGCAGCAGGACGGAAAGACCCCGAGACCUUUACUAUAGUUUGGUAUUGGUGUUCGGAGUGGCUUGUGUAGGAUAGGUGGGAGACGUUGAAGCCCGGACGCCAGUUCGGGUGGAGUCAUCGUUGAAAUACCACUC